UACGUAGGGUGCAAGCGUUAAUCGGAAUUACUGGGCGUAAAGCGCGCGUAGGCGGUUUGUUAAGUCAGCUGUGAAAGCCCCGGGCUCAACCUGGGAACUGCAGUUGAUACUGGCCGACUGGAGUGCGAGAGAGGGAGGUAGAAUUCCAUGUGUAGCGGUGAAAUGCGUAGAUAUAUGGAGGAAUACCGGUGGCGAAGGCGGCCUCCUGGCUCGACACUGACGCUGAGGUGCGAAAGCGUGGGGAUCAAACAGG
rnacentral:rRNA from 1 species